GAGGGUUAAGCUCAGUGGUAGAGCGCAUGCUUAGCAUGCACAAGGCCCUGAAUUCAAUCCCCAGUACCUUCA
rnacentral:tRNA from 1 species